UUAUCAUUGAGCCCCUAGGGAAGCCCGCUGUUCCUUAUCUGUAGUUUAAACAAAGGUGCUAGUACCAAGUGGAUUUCAAUGCCUUUGGGAGGCUGUGGCCUUGCCCCUCAAAAUGAAUUUGAAGGUUCUACACCU
ensembl:snoRNA